AUUGAACGCUGGCGGCAGGCCUAACACAUGCAAGUAGAACGAGUGGCGGACGGGUGAGUCAUGUCUGUGAAACUGCCUGAUGGAGGGGGAUAACUACUGGAAACGGUAGCUAAUACAGCAUAACCUCACAUGCUGCCAGAUGGGAUUAUCUAGUUGGUGGGGUAACGGCUCAUCAAGGCGACGAUCCCUAGCUGGUCUGAGAGGAUGACCGGCCACACUGGAACUGGGACACGGUCCAGAUUCCGACGGUAGGCAGCAGUGGGGAAUAUUGCACAAUGGGCGCAAGCCUGAUGCAGCCAUGCCGAGUGUAUGAAGAAGGCCGUCGGGUUGUAAAGUACUUGCAGCGAGGAGGCGUUACCCGCAGAAGAAGCACCGGCUAACUCCGUGCCAGCAGCCGCGGUAAUUC
rnacentral:rRNA from 1 species